GUUUUUAUAGUUUAAUUAAAAAUUUUAAAUUGCAAAUUUAAUGAUAUUCAUGAUUAAAAACU
rnacentral:tRNA from 1 species